GAUGAAGAACGUAGUGAAAUGCGAUAAGUAAUGUGAAUUGCAGAAUUCAGUGAAUCAUCGAAUCUUUGAACGCACAUUGCGCCCGCCAGUAUUCUGGCGGGCAUGCCUGUCUGAGCGCCAUUUCAACCCUCAUGCCCCUAGGGCGUGGUGUUGGGGAUCGGCCAAAGCCCGCGAGGGACGGCCGGCCCCUAAAUCUAGUGGCGGACCCGUCGUGGCCUCCUCUGCGAAGUAGUGAUAUUCCGCAUCGGAGAGCGACGAGCCCCUGCCGUUAAACCCCCAACUUUCCAAGGUUGACCUCAGAUCAGGUAGGAAUACCCGCUGAACUUAAGCAUAUCAAUAAGCGGAGGA
rnacentral:misc_RNA from 1 species